CCUGCCCAUAAGAGGGGGAUAAUCCAUGGAAACGUGGACUAAUACCGCAUAUUGUAGUUAAGUUGCAUGACUUGAUUAUGAAAGAUUUAUCGCUUAUGGAUGGACUCGCGUCAGAUUAGAUAGUUGGUGAGGUAACGGCUCACCAAGUCAACGAUCUGUAGCCGAACUGAGAGGUUGAUCGGCCGCAUUGGGACUGAGACACGGCCCAGACUCCUACGGGAGGCAGCAGUGGGGAAUAUUGCGCAAUGGGGGCAACCCUGACGCAGCAACGCCGCGUGCAGGAAGAAGGUCUUCGGAUUGUAAACUGUUGUCGCAAGGGAAGAAGACAGUGACGGUACCUUGUGAGAAAGUCACGGCUAACUACGUGCCAGCAGCCGCGGUAAUACGUAGGUGACAAGCGUUGUCCGGAUUUACUGGGUGUAAAGGGCGCGUAGGCGGACUGUCAAGUCAGUCGUGAAAUACCGGGGCUUAACCCCGGGGCUGCGAUUGAAACUGACAGCCUUGAGUAUCGGAGAGGAAAGCGGAAUUCCUAGUGUAGCGGUGAAAUGCGUAGAUAUUAGGAGGAACACCAGUGGCGAAGGCGGCUUUCUGGACGACAACUGACGCUGAGGCGCGAAAGUGUGGGGAGCAAACAGGAUUAGAUACCCUGGUAGUCCACACCGUAAACGAUGGAUACUAGGUGUAGGAGGUAUCGACCCCUUCUGUGCCGCAG
rnacentral:rRNA from 1 species